UAAGGUAAAAGCCAUCAGUGAAUGGCAGGUAAGUUCAACUCCUAGAGCUGUUUCAUUAUCAAAACUCGUUUAAGCAAAUUUCAGUUUUAUUCCAACACCCUCAAACCUGUUCUGCUAUAAGACCCUCACUUAAUUCCAAUCUUAUUCUGCCAUCAUUUGUAGCCAAAACACUUCAGGCAAGCUAGAAUACGAAAAAUCAUCAUGCUCUCAACCAGUGGCAUGCAUUACUAUUGCAGAAGAGAAUCUAAUAGAUGUCUUACUUGGGAAAAGAAUCCUGGGUCAGGGAAUCCUCUACUCCUGGUGACUAAGACCUCAAACAAUCUUACAGAGCUGAACCAGGAAAUGGAACAGAAUAAUCAGAAGUGAAGAAUGGAAAGUUUGCAAUAUAAGAAAAUGGAAGAAGUUCAAGAAGGAAAUUGGCAAACCGUAAGUUUGCAGAGGAAUGUUGUGGGAGGGAAGCCUAAGAAAUUAUUUCUUAAGAAUGAUUGGGGGUAAUAACUUGGAUGGUUUUCCUAAAAGCUACCUGUCCAACAACAUAAUUCCUUCCUACAGAUUUUUGCUUCCCAGUGUUUUACAGGAAUGUCUGUCAAUCAGAAAUAUAAAAAUUGAGUGUCAGCCCCUUGCUUCUCUGAUCUUUGCUGAGUGUAGACCAAGGAAAAU
rnacentral:lncRNA from 1 species